rnacentral:rRNA from 1 species
UUAUAAGAGACAGCAGUCGCCGCGGGAAUACAGAGGGUGCGAGCGUUAAUCGGAUUUACUGGGCGUAAAGCGUGCGUAGGCGGCUAAUUGAGUCGGAUGUGAAAUCCCCGAGCUUAACUUGGGAAUUGCAUUCGAUACUGGUUAGCUAGAGUGUGGGAGAGGAUGGUAGAAUUCCAGGUGUAGCGGUGAAAUGCGUAGAGAUCUGGAGGAAUACCGAUGGCGAAGGCAGCCAUCUGGCCUAACACUGACGCUGAGGUACGAAAGCAUGGGGAGCAAACAGGAUUAGAUACCCGAGUAGUCCCUGUCUCUUAUAA